CUCUCCUGGUCACUGUGCACAAUACUGCAGCUACACCACCAUGGAGAAUGACACCAAGGAGAUCAUUCAUGUUGCCACCAUAGACAAGCGGCAAACAUCAUGGAACUCUGUCGUCAUGGAGAAGGAGGGUUUCAUCCAGACUGGACUGGAAGCUUACAUCAGAAAUAAAGCUAGUGGAGAUCUGCACUGAUGCUCAUGCCCAGAUUGGUGCCCUUAUGAACCCAGACAAAGGCAAAUACAAGGCCCUUGGAAUUCAUCACAGUCUGGACAUAUGGCAUGGUGUGAAGAACCUUGCCAAAAAAAUAGCAGCAUUCUGUCACUUUGGAUGUUCCAUAGAAGAUGUUUGCUGUGAGUGAGAAAAGGAAAGCAACAGUAGGAAAGACAAAUUGGGUUUUUAAUUAAUUGUGCAAAAACUAUGAAGCGAUGAAUUGGCUGGAAAAGGUGCAUUGUCUUACAGUAUAUCCAUUGGUGUUCUGAAGUUAUCUUUAAAUUUUAGUUGUUUAAAGAGCAACAGGAUCUUAUUUUGGGCUGGCCUAUAGUGUCAUUAAAUGAGGAAAAGAGUCCUGUGGAAAUGCUAAAGCCAGGGCUUUAAUUGUAAUUUAAUGCACACCAAAUCAAUACUGUCCUAAAUGAAUCAUUAGGACUUCGCUUUUUUGGUAUUUAGUGUUUCACAGCGCCCUCGGCAGAUCAGCAGUAUAGCAGCUCUAAAUAUUCCACUGGCUGUUUAACAAUUCAGGAGGCAUCAAAUUGAAUGUAGGGGGCACUGAGGUAAGAGGGGAAAGGCCAUGUAAGGAUAGCAAAACUUGAUACUGCAUAAAUGUCGCAUACUUGUAAUCAAUUUCUUUUUUCACCCUCAAUUCUGUCAAUCUAGUAAGAGAUAUUUCCAUUUGAUUCAACAGUUUCAACAUCAGUUGUUUCUACAAGUUCAUCAAUUAAUCCAACUUUAUUUUUGCAUGAUUAUUUGUAUGCCUUUUUCUGAUCUUAUCUCUAAUUCACAUUUCCUGAAAACCCAUUUCAAACAAGUCAGGGAUUCAAACCAGCAAACAUCCGCUCACUAUUUUCUCUGACUUGCAGCCUACCUCUGUUCAUGUAUUUAAGGAAGCCCUCCAUCCUUACACUAUAGAUAAAACCUCUACUUUCAUGGUAAGUCCACUGAGACCCAGGCUUCAUCUAUGCUGGGUGACUCUUAGCUACAGUCUGCAGUAAUGUUGACAACACUGUCUUUUAUCCCCCAGUGGCAGACGUUGAAGAUGAGGGUGUCAAAUUGGUCACUUUAUUGCUUAAGAUGCGUCACUUCAAUGUGAAUUGUGUGUAGGUGUGUGUGUGUGUAUCUCAAGAUGUGUUGAAAGGGCAGCAGUAGAGCACUAAUUGUUUUAAAUGCCUGUGAAGCUGACAAUAAAAAAGGAAGAUGAAUCAUG